CCACCCCAAAUGCAACUACCCCUUCCACCACUAGUCAUGUACACAUAUCGACUAAUUCACAGCCUACAAGUUCCUCUGCUCCUUCCACCACAGUUGUCCCUCUUAAGUGCCUUAAUGGAGGAGUGUUUGUCGGGGGUCGUUGUCACUGCCCAUCUCCCUAUACUGGGAGACGUUGCGAACAGGCAGAGAAUGAAGUCCAAGUGGUGACUGUUGUGGCCACAAUCAAUGUCUCUGUAACAGUGAAGAAUCGGAACUUCAGCCAAG